rnacentral:rRNA from 1 species
UGGGGAAUUUUGGACAAUGGGCGAAAGCCUGAUCCAGCAAUGCCGCGUGUGUGAAGAAGGCCUUCGGGUUGUAAAGCACUUUUGUCCGGAAAGAAAUCCUUGGCUCUAAUACAGUCGGGGGAUGACGGUACCGGAAGAAUAAGCACCGGCUAACUACGUGCCAGCAGCCGCGGUAAUACGUAGGGUGCAAGCGUUAAUCGGAAUUACUGGGCGUAAAGCGUGCGCAGGCGGUUUGCUAAGACCGAUGUGAAAUCCCCGGGCUCAACCUGGGAACUGCAUUGGUGACUGGCAGGCUAGAGUAUGGCAGAGGGGGGUAGAAUUCCACGUGUAGCAGUGAAAUGCGUAGAGAUGUGGAGGAAUACCGAUGGCGAAGGCAGCCCCCUGGGCCAAUACUGACGCUCAUGCACGAAAGCGUGGGGAGCAAACAGGAUUAGAUACCCUGGUAGUCCCACGCCCUAAACGAUGUCAACUAGUUGUUGGGGGAUUCAUUUUCCUUAGUAACGUAGCUAACGCGUGAAGUUGACCGCCUGGGGAGUACGGUCGCAAGAUUAAAACUCAAAGGAAUUGACGGGGUCAUAGCUG